AUUGAACGCUGGCGGCAUGCCUUACACAUGCAAGUCGAACGGCAGCACGGGUGCUUGCACCUGGUGGCGAGUGGCGAACGGGUGAGUAAUACAUCUGAACAUGUCCUGUAGUGGGGGAUAGCCCGGCGAAAGCCGGAUUAAUACCGCAUACGAUCUACGGAUGAAAGCGGGGGACCUUCGGGCCUCGCGCUAUAGGGUUGGCCGAUGGCUGAUUAGCUAGUUGGUGGGGUAAAGGCCUACCAAGGCGACGAUCAGUAGCUGGUCUGAGAGGACGACCAGCCACACUGGGACUGAGACACGGCCCAGACUCCUACGGGAGGCAGCAGUGGGGAAUUUUGGACAAUGGGCGAAAGCCUGAUCCAGCAAUGCCGCGUGUGUGAAGAAGGCCUUCGGGUUGUAAAGCACUUUUGUCCGGAAAGAAAUCCUUGGCCCUAAUACGGUCGGGGGAUGACGGUACCGGAAGAAUAAGCACCGGCUAACUACGUG
rnacentral:rRNA from 1 species